ACUCAAAGGAAUUGACGGGGACCCGCACAAGCAGCGGAGCAUGUGGUUUAAUUCGAAGCAACGCGAAGAACCUUACCAGGACUUGACAUAUACGUGAAUACGUUAGAGAUAGCGUAGUCUUUUCGGAGACACGUAUACAGGUGGUGCAUGGUUGUCGUCAGCUCGUGUCGUGAGAUGUUGGGUUAAGUCCCGCAACGAGCGCAACCCUUAUCAAUAGUUGCCAGCGGGUAAUGCCGGGAACUCUAGAGAGACUGCCGAUGAUAAAUCGGAGGAAGGUGGGGAUGACGUCAAAUCAUCAUGCCCUAUAUGUCCUGGGCUACACACGUGCUACAAUGGUCGGUACAGAGGGGAGCAAGAGAGUGAUCUGGAGCAAAUCUCAAAAAGCCGAUCCCAGUUCGGAUUGUAGGCUGCAACUCGCCUACAUGAAGUUGGAGUUGCUAGUAAUCGCGAAUCAGAAUGUCGCGGUGAAUGCGUUCCCGGGUCUUGCACACACCGCCCGU
rnacentral:rRNA from 1 species